CUGGCUGAGUCUGGCUGUGCCGGAGCUGGCUGAGCCUGGCUGUGCCGGAGCUGGUGGAUCCUGGCUGUGCCGGAGCUGGCUGAGCCUGGCUGUGCCGGAGCUGGUGGAUCCUGGCUGUGCCGGAGCUGGUGGAUCCUGGCUGUGCCGGAGCUGGCUGAGCCUGGCUGUGCCGGAGCUGGCUGAGCCUGGCUGUGCCGGAGCUGGUGGAGCCUGGCUGUGCCGGAGCUGGCUGAGCCUGGCUGUGCCGGAGCUGGCUGAGCCUGGCUGUGCCGGAGCUGGCUGAGCCUGGCUGUGCCGGAGCUGGUGGAGCCUGGCUGUGCCGGAGCUGGUGGAUCCUGGCUGUGCCGGAGCUGGCAGCCAGGAGCUGCCCCUGCCCUGGGGCGGGCUCCAGCCGUGCCUCAGCACCGCAGGAGUUCCCAUCUGGCUCCCGGCUUUGCAGCGCAGCCCUCCCUGCCCAGGGGAUUAGCGGAGAUGCGGUUCCCAGGGCGGGGGGAAGGGGCUAAUGAACAGAGACAGGAUAACGAAGCAGGUAUGGGCUUCCUGUACUUCAGGGCUCAGGAGGAAAUCCUGCAGCUGGUGAAUCUGGAUGCGAUUAGUGUCCAUUUCUCCCUGUGUAAUGAACCCAUCUGCUCAUCCUCGCUCACGCCCCAGCGCAGGCAGAGCCUCUCGGGCUCUGUUUUCAUCCCUGUCUGCCACGGCAGGCUGAGAACAAGGCUCGCCCUGAGCCGGGGCUGGGGCGGUCCCGGGGGAGCUGCGCCCACCACGGCCCGAUCCCAGCACAGGGCGCUGCCCUGCGGGGAGGGCGGCUCCUCCAAGGGGCUUGGAGCAGUUCAAAGGCAUCGCUGAGACAACAGAUAAGCUCAGCUUUCCUGACUCUGCCCGCUCAUCCCAGCUCAGCUUUACCACAGGCAGGUAAAGGUGGAUUUUGUUUGGCUGCCUGGCUUCAAAGCCUCCCUCAGCCCUUGGGAUGCUGAGCACAGGGCACACAGUGCCCCCGUGGCUGGGGAGGGACUGGGCUCUCAGUCCUGCUCUGUAAGAACACUGGUGAAGUUGGUAGGUGCUGCUGCAGGAUCCUGAGGGUUCGUUUCAGCUUCUUUUCCUUGGCAAUUUUGUCCAACUAUGCAAAAAACACAGCAGCCCUGCAGUGGGUUACAAGUGUCGGGUAACACAGAGGCCUGGGCUGAAAUGAAAUCAGAAGAGGAGCUGGUGUGUGGAUCAGUGUGGUUUUUAUAGUGCAGUGGCUCAAGCUUCCAUGAUCCUUUAGGGUCUUGUGAAAGGUCCAGCUCAGUGACAGAGUUGGGACAAAGCUGCAGGUUACAAUUCCCAGUCCUGGUGUCCUGUGUACCCACUGCUCUUCCUGUGGUCACUGGAGUGUCCUGGGGGAUCUGUCACACCACGUGAAGAUACCCGGGGGAGUUCCCAUGUGCAGCCCAGUCCUCCCCCGUGGUGGUGCUCAGGGAUGCAGGCACCUGAGCUCCUGCCAAAGUGUCAUUACAGCCAGCAGCAAUCUCAGGAAUGCAGCACACGUUAAACAUUUCAUUCGCUUUCAAGGGCUACUUGUUGCUUCUAAACAACCUAUCCUCAGCCCCUGUUACAUUGCUCUUCAGGUCCUAAAUCUUCUGAUUUUUGGUUUGGAAUGCACUGAUUUACCAUAAGGAAUAAAUGAAAAGCAAAAGAAAACAGCAGUACUUGUUUGCAUAGGGCCUACAUUGUUCUGUGCUCUGCUGCUACUGAAAUAGGAGUGAUAAAUCCCACUCCCUGGACAGAGGUUUUUUUGGGUGGUAGCUGUGUGCAAAUAAGGCUGGGGAAGAUAAACAAGCAGGAAAAAAAAGGGUUUAGGAAAUGACAGUUGAGGAUGGUCAAUCAGCUGAUGGGUCAAAGCCAGCACAAGACCAUCAAUUAGCAAAGCCAUAUUGAUAUUGUUUCUCCAAAGAUUUUUUUGUCCACAAAGAGGGCUGAGAGCAGGAUCUGUGGUUACACUUGGCUGCAAUUAGGAAUCUGUACAGUCUCUAUGUUGCAAAGGGGGAGUUUUAGGAAGGAUUCUGCCUGUAGAAAAUAUGUCCACAGUUCCAGAAGGGCUCAGCCGAAAGGGUGAUGAAAAUCUGUCUGUUGGUGUCAUCGUCAGAACUGCUGGAGGUGGGAACAUUUGCUAAUCUUGCUUAUUUUAGGGGCCCUGCUUUCAGAAGCAGUUCAGUUCUGAAAAUGCAGCUCUGAAAACUCAGCUCUCAAGAGUCUCAUACAAUACAUGCCUCUGACUAGACUAAGGAGGGAUGAAUUUUUCAGACUGUAGGUUCCUGCUUGCCUAAUUAUGAUUUUCAGCUCCUUACAAUUCCAUCUUUGCAUUGUAUAAGUGUGACACAGAAGAAAUAGCUGUGACAUUGCCUGGCGUUUUCUGUUCCAGCUGGGGAGGAACCAGCUAAACCUGCAGGGUUUCAGAGCUUGCAGAGCUGGUGUGGAAGGAGAAUUUAGUUUCACAGUUUGGGAAUCAAACUCAGUUCCCUGAGUAAUCUAAACUGUCACAAUUUCUGUUCCUCCAGCGCCCCCAGGCCUGGGGACAGUGUCACUCUGAAGGGGUAACUUUGGCACCCUGAGGCAGUGCAGGGUUGAGCAGGAUUGUUGUGCUCAUACCAAAUAUCAAUUCAAGGCAAACAACCUUCAUCAGCUCCGGUGUUUACAUCUCUAUUGGAACCUUUUCAGCAGGUUAAAAGCUCCACUAUGGGUUUUGACUUCCCUGUUCAGUUGCCUCAAUAGACACAUAAGGUGCCUGAAGCUGCACAAAAUGGCUUUUGGAUGAGCUCAGGACUGGCCAAAGUCUAAAGUGGUUUGGCUUGCAGGAUUUGUGGCAGCUGCAGCUCCAAAUGCAGCCUGGGCUGGGUCCCAGUGAUAUGGAUAGAGAAGGCAUCUCUCACUUCAGAGUUCUCUGCCACCAUCCAGCUUCUGGAAGAGACAGGGAGAAGCUGCCCUGGGUGUGAGCAGAGCUCCAGAGCAGGGUGGGAUGUGGCUCACAGACUGCUGGGCACAUACUAAAAAGGGCAGCAAUGUUGCCAAAACCCCUGGCUUGGGGUUUUCCUGUGUUUUGUGGGUCUGGAGCCCCAGAGCUCUGUCUGUGAUAUGGCAGCUCCAUCCAUGGUGGGAGCAGGAAAGAGCUUGGAUGGACUCUGGCCUUUGUGCUUUGGAGGUGCCAGCAGUAUGAAUAAUGUAUGGCAGCUCAAUUCUUCUCUCCCUGGCUGAGGGCAAGGUGUCCCAGCUGAUAAGAACUGGGAGCUCAGUCUUGUAAAACCAGUGUUAGAAUUAGACCUUCAUGGGACCCACUGCCUCAAGCAGUCCCAUUGUUCAAGGCACAUUUGGUUAAUUAGUACAUUAACUAAUAACCUGCUCAGCAUCCCAGGUAGGGAAUAUCUGUCUCCCAGAGGAGGAAACAGAGGCAAAGUGACUCGCUAAGACUGGAUGCAGGAGCUUAGCAAUGCAGCUGUUAAGUCUGGUUUUUUCAGUCCCAAAUGAUUUUGUGUGGCUGCUGCUGCCCUAUGCACAUUAUUUCCCUGAGGCAGAAAUGGAGGAGUCCUAAAAACUCCCCAGAGAGUGCUCAGGCCCAGUGAGGGAAGAUACCACUGGACAAACCUGAGAAGAACUGAAUCCAUCCAAAUACUCAGAGGAGGCAAUUUGCUUCCCCCACAUGCACCAACUAAGGAAUAAAACCAAAACCACUUCUCAUUUUCAAGGAAAGUUUUUCUCACCACCUUGGCUUUUCACUCACAUCUUCAUCUACUCUAAAUUUCAUGAACAAAUGGCCAGUGUGGGGAGGAGAGAGCACACGAGGAAUGACAGCGUGGCUGUGUUUGCAGAGGCUCAGUGGGAUGGGAUCAGAGCAGAAGGAUAAGACCUGAAGAGAUUCACACAAACAGCCAGAGGGGAAACUUUGAUUCUGAGGAAGUCCUUCGACUCCAACACAUGAUGAUGAGCAACUGAUUUCCACAGCUUUGCAACGUGGUUGGGAAAAACCCUGAGCUGAAGAACAAGGGUGUAGAGUUCUCUGGCUUGCAAGACUGAUGGCAACACCACAGACCCUUUCUCACGAGCCCUGAUCCCAGGUAGAAAGGGGAGGCUUGUUCUCUCCACCCAGCUCUGACCUGAAGGUGCUUUGUGCUUUACCUGCUCUCAAAUGACAAUUCUCAGCAGCAAGGAUGUGUGUGCAGAGGAAUGAGAACCAACUCCUGCAGGCAGGGAUCCAUCCCUGAGGAGGAGAAUCUCACGGGGUUCAAUUGUGGGGCCACGUGCCUUAUCAGUGUGCUGGCUCCCACCCAGCCGGGCAGCCACAGCCCUGCUCAACACUGGAAUGUCCAGGGAGUGCCUGGAAUGAGAGACCUGCUGAGCUCACAGAAGCAGAAGGCACCAAAGGAACAGGCCUGUCCUGCAGAAGGGACUCCUUUCAUGACCACAGCUCAAUCCACCACCAGUUUGCUGAGCCCACAGCAGCCCAGAUUGGAGGCUACAAAAAUAUCCCCGUUCAGCAACUCCUCCCUUGUCCUUUGUGAAGCUCCAGCAUUUUAAUCAUGUUCACACCUCCCUCUCCUGACACAAACCUUCUCAGCUCCCUCCCAGGUCCACAAAACCUGUGCAUUCCUGGUCUCAUUCCCUUGCUUAUGCAUCAGACACUCUCCCCUGCCUAAGCUUCCCAAAUUUCCCCAUUUGCUUAUUCUGUGUAUUCCCAUCUUUCCCCCCGUGCACCCUCACUUGACUAAGAUUUGUUGAAUAACCAGCCAGUGCUGCAGGGCUACAGGCAGUUUUGGGUGUGCUGUUGAUAGAUUGAGCAAUCCCAGCCCCAUGCACGUCCCCAGUUCCACAUUUCUCCAUCUCAGGACCACCAGAAAAGUGCUGCUGAUGUAGGGGCCCUGUUAUUGGGAAAGACAAAACACCCCAUCGUGUAAACGUGUCUUGUAAACGUGUCUCAUCCUGCUCUGUUCAUAAUAGGCUCAGAAUAAGGGUAAAAACAGAGUCCCUCAGGUUGUUGGGGGUUUCUAGAAGACAGUAUUGGUGCCAGAGCAGCUGAAAUUGGUUUUGAUUCUUAGCUUCAGCCUGACAUGCCGCAUGUGGCCAUUCUUGAUCUGUUCCUAUACACAUCUAAAGCCCUUUGGUUGUCAUUCUCCAAUCUGUAUUGCUGGUUUUCCUGGAAGAGUAUUACACAAGAAAUGCACUAUUCUCUCCAUGCAAAGGCAUUUUCAAGCAAGUCUUGUCUUCUCAAAGCCUAGUAAAAUCAGAUUUGGGUCUCUCAAAUACCUGCAAAACUCCCAGACUUUGAGGUUAAUGCAAAGUGCAGAAAUCUACCUGUGGGGUUACAUGGCUCCAUAGCAAACCCAUACCAGAAAUCAGGAUAACCUGAGUGGGCUCUCAGUGGAGUUUGUUACAGGUGAUGCUUAUUUUUAGGGACAUUUUAAUAAGCCUAAUCAAUCACAACAAAUUACUAAUAAAUCCAUAACAAUUUUCACCUGGAGAUCUUGGGUUACUUUGCCAGAAAUUGCAGUGAGGAAUAGUGAUUAUUAAAAAAAAAUCUAAAGAUUUAGCUUUUCUCACAGGAUAAUUCAAGAUGUUGCCAUUAUGCUUCUGCUCUGAAUUACUUUGCAGAGAAAUUACCCUCCCCACUUGAGAAAGCUGAGCAGGUCCAGCCUCCUGUGCUUAAAUUUAUCCCACGUGAAUAUGGCACAAAGUGCUCGUCCUAUUGACAACCUUCCUUACAGGAUUUUCCUACAGGUCCUGUAACAGCUUCAAAGCUGUGCUGGCUUUUGGCAUUUCCAGUCCCCUGCAUCCUUAAGGGAUGUGACUUCUAAUGGGGAGAUCUUACCAGUCCUGAACCCUGGGAAUAUUCCUGAUUUUCGCACCUUGUGCCACCUACAGCAGCAGAAAGCCCAGGGGUGUUUGAUUUGUGUCCUCCUGAGGGUCUUCCCAUGCCAGGUGCUCCUAGACAGGUUUGUGAGGUUGUUUGCCUUGCUCUAAAAACCUGUCAUUGGUUUUGCUCAGGAUUUGGAGGAACACAAGGGCUGUGCUGGAGGGUGGAUUCAUCCGUGUGUCUUGCUGGAUGCUAACUGGAACCUCAGCCCUGUGCUUUCGGGAGAGGAGGGUCCGGUGAGAGGCGUCUCCAGUCCCUCAAGCCACGGGCACGUUGCCUGGAUGGGCAGCUGUGGGGCUGCUCCGUGGAAGGGCAGGAAGACAAAAGUCAUGGAGCUCACGAGGCUUUUUGUGGGCACAAGGUCCUGCUGGAGAGAGCCUCUGUUUCCGAGACAGGCUCGUCCUGGCGGGAGCGAGCGAGGAAAGCUCAGAGUGCUGUUCCCGCGGGCGCCGUUGGGAUCCGGGCUGCAGAGGCCACGCUGUCCCCAAGGCCGGGCUCCUCUCCCCCUCUCUGCGGGUGUUAUUUACACCGUUUCCUGCCCAGGGAAGUUCAGGAGUUUGACGUUGCGGCGUUGGUUUCCGCUCUCCUGCCUGGCUCCCUUCGGGAGCUCUCGCAGAGCCCGGCAGCAGCCGGGCCGGACCCCGCGGGCGGGACGGAGGUGCCGGCCGGGCCCAGGGGGGAAAUGUAACCCAUGUCAGGCUGGACAGCUCAGGCUCAGCCAGCUUGGGAGGGCUGGAAAACCAGCCCUGUGUCCAUCCCUCCGGCUCAGCCCAGCUGUGGGACUGGACGGGGCCGGCAGGAGGAAGGAGGACACGCCCGGGCAUGGCUGCAGAGCUUUUGGGUCCCUGCCGAAUUGACGCCCUCCCCUCUCCCCCCUCAUCCUUCCCGCCUGGCCUGCGUCUCCCCUCCCUUCCCUUCUCCCUCCCAUCCCGCAGCAAACAAAAUGGCUGCUCCAUGGCCAUUUUGUUUCCCAUCUGGAAGGGGGAAGCCGGGACGCUGGGACUUGGCUCUUUUUUGGAGGCUGCGGCCAUGUCCGAGCCCAACUCUCCCGUCUCUACGUGGCACCGGCUGUAGCAAGAGAGAGAAAGGGGAAAAAAAAGAGAGAGAAAAAAAAAAAAAGGACAUUUUGGAACGAGACCAAAGGCAGAGGCAGAGAGUGGGUAGUUUUGGCGUAUGUUGAGCACUGAAAAUGCCUGGAAUUGCCAAACUGAGCUUUUGUAUGAGCAGCGUAAGGGCUACUCGGUGCACGCAGAGCCGCGGGGCUGCACGGAAUAGCCGGACGGAAAGUGAUUCUGCAUUUCCUUCAGUAGCCUGGAUGUCUUGGCGUUAGUAGCCACGUCGCUUUGUUUGUGGACACUCCGAGGAGCAGAUCCCUGCCCUGUGGCACGGGGCGGAUCAGACCCUGAUAAGGUGUUGGAAUGAUCAUCCUGCUGUUCCUUGAGUGGCUUUGCAGACAUGUGGAGAGAAGCAGACACUGCCAGAGCGGAGCUGGGAAGGAGAGCAGAAAGAGGUGAAAUGGCUUUCCUUGCACAGAAAGAAGAGCCUCACGCGUUCCUUUCAAACUACCAGAUUAAUACCUCGCCUCUGUAUUUGGGUGUACAAAGAGUGAAGAAGCCUCAGAAGGACCUGCGGAGCAGCCAAUGCCUGGAUCAGGCUCAUCCCUGGAUAAGGAUCAUCUCCGUGCCCUAGGCUGCCACGGUCCCAAGCUGUCCUUGAGGCUGAGGAGCAGAUGGGGCUCUCCCUCUGCCGCUUUCCAGAGUAAGGAGGAUCAAGACCACGAGUGGAGCUGUAACACGAUCAGGGCUGCAUCAGGAGGGACAUUUCAGGCCAUUAUCACAACCAUCUCACUGCCAGGGAGACGCUGAGACCCGAGACACCGGGGAGCGAGGGCAAGCAGAGGACACCUUCUCAGAUGAAGUGCGAGGGAGAGCGCGAGGAGAAAUUGGAGCCCUCAAAUUUCACCCCGAGCAAAGGCCCAGGGAGAGGCAGGGCUGGCUGCGGGGCCGUGGGAGUCCCCAGAAUGAAGCAGCUCAUUUCAGGCCCCUCUGCUGGGACAGGGCGGAGCUGGGACACAGCUGCUGGGUGGGGAUGCUGCAGCUCCAAGCGGCGAAGGAAUGCAGCCCUCUCUCCAUAAAUCUGGCUUUUCAGCAGUCCUGGCAACUUGCUGUGCAAAACUACAGCUUGGUGCUGUGAGCUGCGUUAUUAUCCUCCAGCUGCUCGCUCAGGGGCAGGGCUCCUGCCCGCAGAUUGCUUGGAAGGUACCAAAAUAGCUCCACAAGCAUGGGAACAGGGUGGCAUAUCCACUUCAUCUGGAGAGGUGUCCCUGGAAAAGAGCUAAUCCCGCCUGUCCCAGAUGGAAUCUGUUCAGUCCCCCCUCAUGGCACUGAUAUUAAUGCAGAGAAUCUCAAACAGGGGAACUGUGUGAGCUGGAAGCCAUGAAUAAAAUAUUGCUGGAGAUAUUCCCUUGUGAAAAUAAACUUGGUUUGACUUUUUAAAAA